CAUUUCUCCGACCCCUGGUCCGGCCCGGGGCAGGGCGGGCUGCCGAGCUAGCCCGGGGAGCCCCACUCCGAAAGGCAGGACUGACGGACUGGCCUCACACGCGGUCGUGGAGUGCCUCUCCGCCUCGGGCGCCCUGCGCUGCCCGCGGAGCAGAAAAGACCGAUCCGAUCACGUCAACGUGGAUUGGCAGCGAGGCUCACGUUGUAGUUGGGAGAGACGGACCACAAACCGGCAGACGAGUCUGUCACAGGCGGACGCAGCGCGUCGUGAUGGUUCCGUGGCAUCAGUGGGCAGAACAAGACAUCUCCAUGAUUUCCCGUUCACACUGUCCGGUGUCCUGCGGUGCCCCAGCACGCCUAACAACAUGCCCAGCAUGGUGCCAAGUGCUUUGCAAAUGGUUCCUGAUUUUAACUUCACAAUUCCAUGGAGGCAAAACAAUAUGGAGAUGAGACUGGAUGUCAACCAGCCGAGUGGCGCCGAGUGUCAAAGUCACACACACUGCACACCCCUGGCUAGGGAGAAGCAAGAACAUGGAAAAUCUAAGGACUCUCAGUAAAUAUUACGUCCAUAACACUGCAGACACAGCCCUCGACUGAGCCAUCUCUGAAAAAAUAAUUCUUCUUCCCCAGCCAGAGGAGCCUUGGCGCGUGAGGGGCGCCCCGAGUUGCCUUCCUGGCUGCAGCGUUUUCUCCUCUGACCGAGACUUCGCCCAGAGCACACACGCCAGGCCCCGCCCAGCCGGGCCGCUUCGUCAGAACGCACUCACCCCUCGGCAAGGCGAGUGCCCCUUGUCCUCCUGGGUGGGCUCUUCUACUUUUUCCUGUCUCCCUCCCAACGAGUCAUGGUCAAGUGCAACCCAGGCAGGUGCACCGGCGUCACUGGGAGAGGCAGCCCAGCAGGGGAACAGCAUGGGUUGCAAGAGCAAGCCACCCGACCUCCAGGCCUCCGUUUCCCCAUCAGCACAGCGAGGGCGAUAAAGAGGAUCCGCCUCUCGAGGCUGUGGAUGUGGAGACGUGUCAGAGAUGGUUACGCUGGGCCCGGGCUUCUUCCAGCCAGGCCAACUAGACUUUAAUCUAAGCCCUGCAGACCAGUGACCUUCGGCAUUUCCAAGGCAAGGUCUGGGUGGGCCUUCCUUCUCCAUCCAAUUUUUUUUCCAGUUGGUUCUAGUCACACACUGGCUGGGACCCUGUGUCCUUAUGGAUAGUCCCCGGCUGUGGCUUGUGUUGGCCAUUCCCUCCGCUCUGCUUUGGCCUACCUUGGUGGGGGGAGCAAAGGAGGCCACCGAUGCUUGCCCUGAAGCCUUGAAGACCCUUAAGGGGGGGGAGCUGUAGAAGAAGCCCAAGGACCAAUGUUGAGGAGACAGGGCCACCGCUGUGGCUGCCGAAGUUUCUGACGCCCACAGAGUCUGUCGAAGCCGUCCUCCAGACCGUAGGAGAGCGCCUCUCUUCAUUUGCUUUGGCUGUUGCACUGCGCUCUCUUCUACUGAGGUGGAGUUCAGGGCGGGCAGGAAGAUGACCGGUAAUGGACCUCAGGACUUCUUAGCCUGCUGUCCUCCUGUCCCAGCCCCAGCCAUUCGCUCACUCACCCAACUGUCGCGUCUGCAGUAGCUGGCACUGCGCCCUACACCAAGGGCACAGAGGUGAUGAGGGCGGUCCUCGGCCUUGCGGAGCUCACCGGUCGGUGGAGGACGGCUGUAACCCAGUGCCAUCCAAGCUUUGAUAGGGAGCCCAGGGUGUUAUGUCUUUGGGUACCAGUGACCCCCCAAGUCAGGGAAGUCUUCCCAGAGGCUCACUGCCCUGGCCCCAAACUUGAGUAGCAGCUCACUCACCUCUAAGAAGCACUUGCCCCAGAGAACUAAUGGACCCCUCGCAGGGUGAGCCUCCGCC